UACAGAGGGGGCAAGCGUUGUUCGGAAUUACUGGGCGUAAAGGGCUCGUAGGCGGCCAACUAAGUCAGACGUGAAAUCCCUCAGCUUAACUGGGGAACUGCGUCUGAUACUGGAUGGCUAGAGUGUGGGAGAGGGAUGCGGAAUUCCAGGUGUAGCGGUGAAAUGCGUAGAUAUCUGGAGGAACACCGGUGGCGAAGGCGGCAUCCUGGACCACGACUGACGCUGAGUGAGCGAAAGCCAGGGGAGCAAACGGG
rnacentral:rRNA from 1 species